rnacentral:lncRNA from 1 species
GAGAGCAAGAACAGCCCGCAGGUCCCGAGGCGCUUGCAGGGGACUCUGCCGCGGAAAGUUCCCAGUCCCCAGCCGCAGAAGCUUUUUAUUUUUGGUUGAUUCCUGCUGUCUACUCCUCUUGGAUGCCUUUGUGAAACUGCUUCUAUCUGAGAAGGAGGAGUUGCCAUUUAGCAAGUAGUAGGUGGUACCGUGUGUGGCAGAGUCCGAUGUGUUACACCACGAGGACAUUCAUCUUUGCAAUUGGUGAAGUCCUUCUACCUAGUUCCCCUUCCUUGUGCACAGAAGAGGACUGGAAAACUCCUCACAGGACUGCAUACUGCUAUCUCUGAGAAACCAGAAAGAAGAAAGUACCUCUUCCUUCCAAGCUUCUACCUAAGAGUAUACUGGAAGGUUUACCUAGAGCAACAAGACAACGAAAUGGAUUGUCCUUCUCACGCUAGUCCACACACAAUCCUCAUCAUUUUGAUAAGAUAGCAUGAAGUCUCUUAUCGCUUGUGGAUCCAGCACUUUGGUUCAGAAAUGAGACAGUCAUCAUCUUCAAGGUGAAGAAAUACAGUUUGUCCCUUCCUCUCAAAAUGAAGAAAGCUACAUUCAUGUAUAUGUAUCUGGACUUCAUUAAUUUGUUUCUAUUUCCAUUUUGUUACCUCUCUGAGACAAGUAUGAAGCUUGUCUCUAAAAUUAUAGUUAUGUACUAUUACUCAUUUGAAAUGAUAAUAAUUACUCAUUAAUAAAUACUAAAAUAUUUGAAACCACAAAGCAUUUAAAUUCCUCAUAAGGGGCUAUAGAUGGAAUUAUAAGAGAAAAUACCCUUAAGGUGAUUCCCCAUGACGAUGAAUUAUUCCUGGAGAAUUUGCAACCCUACUGUGACCAUUAGUAUCUGCUGGAUUUCCCUGCUCUAAGAGGCUAAUGUAUCUGACCAACUAAUCAGAGGAACCAUGAGAGCAGAUGAUGCCUGAACCUUCAUUACUUGUCUUUCCUGCUUCUGUAAUUUUGAUGCUUUGUUAUUUUCUGUCUCUGUGCUCAAACACUGAUUGGUUAUUCAAACCAAUGACAAGCUGAAGAAUUGGACAGUCUUCCAGGAGCUGGUUCUUCAUAAUUAGAAUUUUCAUUUAACUAUUUUCUUAGAAUACUUAUUCAGUGUAGUUUCUCAGAGGGUUACUCUGUUUCUUACAUUUGUAAGCAGACAUAAUCAUUAUGUAUUAAUGUUAAAACUACAUCAAAUAAAAUAGUUCAUAGAC